UACGUAGACCAUGAUAUAUGCCACUAUGUCC
rnacentral:piRNA from 1 species